AGAGAUUAUGAGCUGCUCACAGUGGAAGGUAGAGAGAGAGAGAGAGAGAGGAGAGAGAGAGGAGAGAGAGAGCAAGCUAUCAUGGAGCCUUCUAGUGAUAACGAGCCCUCUGAGCCCCUCUUGCUUUCCAAAUCAUCUUCGAUGCAUAUAGUGAGCCGUGAACUGGAAGACACACUAAACAACACUGAACUCUCAUACUUCCAGCGCCUCCGAACCGGCACAUGGCUUGAGCUGAAGAUCCUCUUCCGCCUGGCAGCUCCGGCGGUGGUGGUUUACUUGCUCAACAAUGUCAUAUCCAUGUCCACCCAAAUCUUCUGUGGCCAUCUUGGCAACCUUGAACUCGCUGCCUCCUCUCUUGGCAACACUGGCAUUCAAGUUUUCGCCUAUGGCCUCAUGCUUGGUAUGGGUAGUGCAGUGGAGACACUGUGUGGUCAAGCCUAUGGUGCACAUAAGUACGACAUGCUAGGCAUAUAUAUGCAGCGAUCGACAAUCCUCCUCCUAGCAACUAGCAUCCCACUGAUGAUAAUUUACAUCUUCUGCAAGCAAAUCUUGUUAGGCCUAGGUGAAUCAGCCUCCAUUGCUGCCGCGGCAGCGAUCUUUGUCUACGGUCUCAUCCCUCAAAUCUUUGCCUACGCCUGCAACUUCCCCAUACAAAAGUUCCUCCAAGCCCAGAGCAUAGUGUUCCCUAGCGCCUACAUAUCGCUGGGGGCACUGGUAGUGCACAUAGUGCUAAGUUGGGUGGUGGUGUACAAAUUGGGAGGGGGCCUGUUGGGCGCCGCGUUGAUUUUGAGUUUUUCGUGGUGGAUUAUAGUGGUGGCGCAAUUUGUUUACAUAUUGUGGACGCCAAGGUGCAAACGCACAUGGAGAGGGUUUAGCAUCAGGGCAUUUUCUGGGCUGUGGGGCUUUUUGAAAUUGUCUGUGGCAUCUGCCGUCAUGCUUUGCCUGGAGACUUGGUACUAUCAAAUUAUAGUUUUGCUGGCUGGGUUGCUUAAAAAUGCUGAAAUUGCAUUGGACGCUCUCUCUAUUUGCAUGACCAUAACUGGAUGGGUCUUCAUGAUUGCUGUGGGGUUCAAUGCUGCUGCAAGUGUGAGGAUUGGAAAUGAGCUUGGGGCAGGACAUCCAAAAUCGGCAGCAUUUGCAGUGGUGGUGGUGACUUCAAGCUCCUUCAUCAUAUCGGCGGUGUGCGCCAUAAUUGUGCUUGUUUUACGACAUGAUAUAAGUUAUGUGUUCACUGAGGGAGAAACAGUCUCCAAUGCCGUCUCAGACCUUUCCCCGUACCUAGCCAUAUCUAUCGUUCUCAAUGGCAUCCAACCUGUUUUGUCUGGAUUCUAUAUUUUGGGCCAAAAACAAAAGGAGUGGCUGUCGGGUGCGGAUGGCAAGCAUUUGUGGCAUAUGUUAACGUGGGAUGUUACUACAUCAUUGGGAUCCCAUUGGGUUGCCUUCUUGGAUUCAAGUUCGAUUUCGGAGCUCAGGGAAUAUGGACUGGCAUGAUAGGAGGCACUUUUAUACAGACAAUCAUCUUACUGUGGGUCACAUAUCGGACUGACUGGAACAAAGAGGUUGAAAAAGCACAGAGUCGUUUGGACACUUACGAGGACAAGAAGGAUUCCGAUGAUGAAGUGCUGACCAAUUAGUCGAGUUUUCAACUUGCUCUUUUCUUUUUUCUCUGGCGGACGUCGGGGAGGUUACAUGAGUUUUGCUUGCUUUUUACGUGCAUGGAAAGUUUUGCAUUAUUGUAAUAACGUUCCUUUCCUUGAUUAGGAAGGAAGUCCAAAAAUAUUUUAAACUUGAUGAGGAGGAGAAAGGGUUUAUUUUGUGGCUGGUCUGUUUUGUUGUAUUAGGCUGCCCUCAUCUUGUCAUUUUGGGCCAACCUGCUUAUAUCAAAUCCAAGAAUUGCAGUUGGUCUGUUUUA